rnacentral:rRNA from 1 species
AGUGGACGCUGGCGGUAGGCCUAACACAUGCAAGUCGAACGGCAGCACAGUAAGAGCUUGCUCUUACGGGUGGCGAGUGGCGGACGGGUGAGGAAUACAUCGGAAUCUACUUUUUCGUGGGGGAUAACGUAGGGAAACUUACGCUAAUACCGCAUACGACCUACGGGUGAAAGCAGGGGAUCUUCGGACCUUGCGCGAUUGAAUGAGCCGAUGUCGGAUUAGCUAGUUGGCGGGGUAAAGGCCCACCGAGGCGACGAUCCGUAGCUGGUCUGAGAGGAUGAUCAGCCACACUGGAACUGAGACACGGUCCAGACUCCUACGGGAGGCAGCAGUGGGGAAUAUUGGACAAUGGGCGCAAGCCUGAUCCAGCCAUACCGCGUGGGUGAAGAAGGCCUUCGGGUUGUAAAGCCCUUUUGUUGGGAAAGAAAAGCAGCAGGUUAAUACCCCGCUGUUCUGACGGUACCCAAAGAAUAAGCACCGGCUAACUUCGUG